UACGGGGGGGGGCAAGCUUGUUCGGAAUCACUGGGCUUAAAGGGCGCGUAGGCGGUCGACCAAGUCCGGGGUGAAAUCUUUCGGCUUAACCGGAAAAGUGCCUUGGAUACUGGCCGGCGUGGAGGGAGGUAGGGGCAGGUGGAACUUCCAGUGGAGCGGUGAAAGUGCGUUGAUAUUGGAAGGAACGCCGGUGGCGAAAGCGACCUGCUGGACCUCUUCUGAC
rnacentral:rRNA from 1 species